UACGGAGGGAGCUAGCGUUGUUCGGAAUUACUGGGCGUAAAGCGCACGUAGGCGGCUUUGUAAGUUAGAGGUGAAAGCCUGGAGCUCAACUCCAGAACUGCCUUUAAGACUGCAUCGCUUGAAUCCAGGAGAGGUGAGUGGAAUUCCGAGUGUAGAGGUGAAAUUCGUAGAUAUUGGGAAGAACACCGGUGGCGAAGGCGGCUCACUGGCUCGUAUCUGACGCUCAGGCGCGACAGCGUGGGGAUCAAACAGG
rnacentral:rRNA from 1 species